rnacentral:rRNA from 1 species
ACUCCUACGGGAGGCAGCAGUGGGGAAUCUUGGACAAUGGGCGCAAGCCUGAUCCAGCCAUGCCGCGUGAGUGAUGAAGGCCCUAGGGUCGUAAAGCUCUUUCGCCUGUGAUGAUAAUGACAGUAGCAGGUAAAGAAACCCCGGCUAACUCCGUGCCAGCAGCCGCGGUAAUACGGAGGGGGUUAGCGUUGUUCGGAAUUACUGGGCGUAAAGCGCGCGUAGGCGGACUAUUAAGUCAGAGGUGAAAUCCCGGGGCUCAACCCCGGAACUGCCUUUGAUACUGGUAGUCUAGAGUUCGAGAGAGGUGAGUGGAAUUCCGAGUGUAGAGGUGAAAUUCGUAGAUAUUCGGAGGAACACCAGUGGCGAAGGCGGCUCACUGGCUCGAUACUGACGCUGAGGUGCGAAAGUGUGGGGAGCAAACAGGAUUAGAUACCCUGGUAGGAUAGCG